AUUGAACGCUGGCGGCAUGCCUAAUACAUGCAAGUCGAACGGAAACAGGACAAACAAUACUCUUCGGAGUGUUGUGUCGCUGUCGAGUGGCGGACGGGUGAGUAAUGCUUGGGAAUCUACCCAGUAGUGGGGGACAACAGUCGGAAACGACUGCUAAUACCGCAUACGUACUAAGGUAGAAAGCGGGGGAUCUUCGGACCUCGCGCUAUUGGAUGAGCCCAAGUUAGAUUAGCUUGUUGGUGGGGUAAAGGCCUACCAAGGCUACGAUCCAUAGCUGGUCUGAGAGGACGAUCAGCCACACUGGGACUGAGACACGGCCCAG
rnacentral:rRNA from 1 species